rnacentral:rRNA from 1 species
UCGGGAAUCUUGGACAAUGGGCGCAAGCCUGAUCCAGCCAUGCCGCGUGAGUGAUGAAGGUCUUAGGAUUGUAAAGUUCUUUCGCUCGUGACGAUGAUGACGGUAACGAGAGAAGAAGCCCCGGCUAACUUCGUGCCAGCAGCCGCGGUAAUACGAAGGGGGCUAGCGUUGUUCGGAAUUACUGGGCGUAAAGCGCGCGUAGGCGGUUUUGCAAGCCAGAGGUGAAAUGCCUGAGCUCAACUUAGGAAUUGCCUUUGGGACUGCGAGGCUUUGAGGACGAGAGAGGUGAGUGGAAUUCCCAGUGUAGAGGUGAAAUUCGUAGAUAUUGGGAAGAACACCGGUGGCGAAGGCGGCUCACUGGCUCGUUUCUGACGCUGUAGCGCGAAAGCGUGGGGAUCAAACAGGAUUAGAUACCCCAGUAGUCCCUGAGCGGGCUGGCAAGGCGCAU